GUUAGACAGAGCAUGACUAAUUUAAUCCCUUCUGUGAGAAGGCAGACUUAGAAGGCAGACUUCCUCCCUUCCUUGUUAGCUUCCCCCUCCCUCUUAUCAUUCCAGGAUCGAGGGCCCCAUGCACACAAGGACACUGCUCUACCGCUGAGCCACAUCCAGCCCGAAGACUUGGCUGAUUUCCAGGGUUCUGGAUUCCAGGGGUUUGCUUUGUUGUCUUAGUGAUUGGUCGGGAUAUCGUAAGAUUCUGGAACCCACUGUGGAGUGGAAACUUUCAAUGCCAAAGGAGAGGAGGACACCUUCCGGCCCCUGCCAUGUCCUCUCCCCACUCUGUUCUCUCCUGAGCAGAAGCCGCCCUGCAGCAGGCUGUUGGGACCCACUCCAAGCACUCACCUGGGACUUUGUUCCACAGCAUCAGGCUCUGGGUUUCUUUGGUUUAGCACAUGCUGUCCACAAACAGGCCUGGCGAGCCCAGUUGCCCAGCGCAUUGGGCAUGUGUGGGAUGGACGUAGCCUCUGCUGGGCUUCCAGAAAACUCACCCAAGGAGCAAAAGCUUCUCCUUAUACCCAUGAAGUUACCAAAAGCAAAUAUUUGGAGAGGCGCCUUAUCCGAAAUUCACCUGUCUUUGAACCCUGUUGAGCCAAAAUGGAUGGAUACCAGGUUCUGACGGGGGUGUUGAGUCUGAGGGGGAGAAGACACUGGAAGGACGUGGUGGCAGUGUGGAAGUUGGGCCACGUCUCACAACUCUGCUGUUACUGGAAGAGGUGACCACCCCUAUCUCAUCACCAAGGAUCUGUGUUUCAUGUUGGUGGGGACUAAUGGCCUUUGGAGACAAAAGGAAGGAGGAAGGCAUGUUACCUGAUUGGAACAAGAGCUCAUAUGAGCAGCAGCUGCCGCCUGUCACUGCUAACACUCCAUACCUCCUGGACCAUGGGGAUAAUCCUGUCACCUCCUGGACCGUGGGAUAUGCUGUCACCUCCUGGACCGUGGGAUACUGCUGUCACCUCCUGGGCCAUGGGGCACUGCUGUCACCUCUUGGACCGUGGGAUACUGCUGUCACCUCCUGGACCAUGGGAUACCGCUGUCACCUCCUGGGCCAUGGGGCAUUGCUGUCACCUCCACCACGCCAUACCUCUGGCUAUGGGGUACUUCUGAGAAAAGCUGCUGUGUCCAAGACAGUGCCAUCAUCUCUCCCCCCUUUUAGAACUGGCAGCUCUCUUCAGAUGCCUUCAGAACAACAAACACUAACGUUACCUGAGGAAAAACUGACCUCUAAUUUAAAAAGAAAAAAUUAAAUUUUCAUUGCCCUGCGUGGUUUUAUUUUA